CCUAUCUGCCGUGGGCGCUGGAGAAUUGAGGGGGGCUGCUCCCAGUACGAGAGGACCGGAGUGGACGCAUCACUGGUGUUCGGGUUGUCAUGCCAAUGGCACUGCCCGGUAGCUAAAUGCGGAAGAGAUAAGUGCUGAAAGCAUCUAAGCACGAAACUUGCCCCGAGAUGAGUUCUCCCUGAGACUGUAAGUCUCCUGAAGGAACGUUGAAGACGACGACGUUGAUAGGCCGGGUGUGUAAGCGCAGCGAUGCGUUGAGCUAACCGGUACUAAUGAACCGUGAGGCUUAACCUUACAACGCCAAAGAAGU
rnacentral:rRNA from 1 species